CCCGGUUCACAGCAGUACGCAGGGCGGCUUGAUGCGGUUCCGCGGCCGCUCCGUGCGUUCCUCGGGCAGUUGCCGUUCGCCUGUCGGCACGCGAGGUGUUCCAGGUGCACUCAGGCAGGGUCGCCAACCACACAAAUGGCAGGAUGUCGGUGGCGUUACUAACGACGUUCAAAGACGAUAAGGAACGAGGAAAGAGUUCUUCCCUGAAUCACUGGCAGUUCGAAACGUCAUGAAGCAAGAUGAUUGAAUCAGUCUAUCGCACGUGAAAUAGAGCGUAGCUAAUUGAUUAACAUUGAAAAACAGCGCAGUUAUUGAAAGGAGAAGCCGUUAUUGGUAUGUGCAGUCCCUCCUGCCUGUUGUCACUUGAGCUCUCGAGCACAGAAUUCAGACGGACGGCCGAUGUGAACGCCAAACGUCGAGAAUGCGCUGAUUGCUGUGUAGAUCUUUCAGGCUAUCAUAACACUAUAUUGUCGAAUGUUUUCCAUAAUAGUUAAUUCACGUAUUCAUGAGGUCUUGCUAUUUGAGUACUUUUGAAACCUAAUAGCUUUUACAAAUUGUUAUUUUUCAUAUUCACGACUCCUGACAAUUGACUUAGAUUCACAACUUGUGAGAUCAGAUCUGCAGUUACGUUAAAGUUAUAUUUGUAUAAAGUAAUUUUUAUUACUUUAAAGCUGGGGCCAUAAGGCUGUUUUAAGAUUUUUUGAAUUAUUCUCAUUGCUUUUAUACAACUGAAUAAUCGGUGUAGUUAACUGCAAUUUGCAAAUGCUAAUUAAUUAUUGUGUUGUUACCAGUACUCUGUUCUAAUUAACAUGGUGAAAAUAA